rnacentral:misc_RNA from 1 species
UUGUAAUUUCUGGUAAGCGAGUAAUGGUGCCAUCAGAGAGAGGGAUGAUGCGGAGGUGCUUGUAGGGAUCGAUGGUGAGAUUUUCCGGUGAAGUUUGAGUUGACAUAAUGAUUGCUUGUAAUGGUUUUGAAUCGGAAGAAUGUGGUUAGAGGAUAUUGUGAGUGUGAACUCUUGUGUUGUGCAUCAACUCAGUUAUAAAUGCCUAACUGAUGGAAAAGGCCUUAAUGGUUGGUGAAG